CAUUCCAAAGGAAGUAUCUGAGGCCCAGAGAGAGGAAGGCUUAAAGGUAACAUGGCAGAGUGGAUGGAGUGCUUAAUUGGUGUGCAAAAGGAAAUUUAUCCUUCUCUCUUUUGACUACAUGUACCUGGAGUGGGGUCUAGAAGUGAGGACUGCAUGAGGGAAAUUAUUGGGUAAAUUGAGUCAUAAGGAUAGAACAGCAGCCAGAAAAAUGGAGUUAAAAAUAUCACAAGUCCAGAGGGCAGGGUGAUCUUCCCUACAAAUAUCCAUGGACUGCUCCCCCUCUCCCCGUGAGUAGCACAGGCAAAAUGGAGUGCAUGGUUGCCUACUGAGAUGUGACAUGUGGGAAUUAGUGGGCAAAGAAGAAGUUUGAUAAACUGAGGCAAGAGCGAUUUGGGGUCUCUUCUCUUGUUGCUGACAGGAUUGCCUUGUGAAUGUGGCUAGGGAAGCCCUCAUGGCAGCCAUCCAUUUAGCAAGCUAAAUGUAGCAAUAAGGAAGGUAUCUUAUAUCUCCCUCUCUUAUUUUUCCACCUUUUUCUCCUGCUACUUUUGAUUUAAUAAAAUUAAUAAUUUAUAGCCAAUCUAUUAAUUUUAACUCUUACAUUGGGAGUCUAGAAGAUCUGGGUCUAACUCCCACCUACAAUAUUUACUAUCCAUAAGCCCAAGGAAGAGUUAUUUAGUAUGUCUUGAAUUUCAAUUUCCUCAUAUAGAAAAUGGAGGUGCCAAUAUCUGUGAUAACUUAUUUCACAGGGCUGCCUUAAAGCUUAUAUGACAUAAUGUGUGUAAAGUGUUUUCUCAGCCUUAAGGAACAGAUACUACCCAAGGUUAUGCCAUUCUUUUUCAGCCUUCAUUUUUCAAAGAGGACCAAUGAUAUUACAGGGUGAUAGAUUUAAGUGAGGAUUUAAAUUGGAUUUAAGUGAGACUGAGUUGCACAAAGUCAUCAGUUCAUAGGAGGAGGGUGGGAGGAGGGGAGGAGGGGAGAAGCCUCCAGCCAAAAGGAAUGGAAAGGGUACAGAGGGAGAAAUGGACGAAGGGCGCAGGACCCAGUCUGCGGCUCCGGGAAGCCUGAUGGACAAAUUCCACCCCUUUCCCCCGCCCCCCCCUUGCAGAACAUAAAGAGCCAGAAAAAGGGAGGAGGGGGGGAGGGGCCCCUCUCCACUCCGCAGGAUCAGCAACAAGAUGAAGAAGCAAAGAAGCUGCUUCCUGACUCUGCCAAGGGGACAAAUUCCAAGCGUCCUCUGUUGACAGUCCCCUCCUCCCCGCCCCGUCUCCCCCCAUCCCCCCACCUCAAUCCCCAGCCAAAUAGAAGGAUUCUGGCACACAGAGCUGGCGGAAGGUUUGAGGGAGGGGUGUCAUAAUCAUUGCGUAUAUUGGCGUCCCUUAAGGUCCUCCUCACCUAUGGACUUUCCUCCUCCUUUAAUACGAAACACUGGGUUGUCCCUCUUCCAGGAAAACAAAAAACAAACAAACAAACAAACUGUCUUUGGCUUACAGGAUGGAAACUCAUUUCCUACCACCAAUCAAUCCACAAAUAUUUAACCAGUUCCUACUAUGUUCAAGACACUAUGGAGGUUGCAAAGAUGAAUAAGACACCAUUUUUUUUUACUGUGAAAGCUUACCGCAACAAUAAUUUGAAAAGUUAAAACAACAGAAGUUGUUCAUCCGUAAAGAUUAAAAAGGAAGUAUAGCAGAAUGCUGCAUUUGAAGGAGCUCUACAUUGGAGUCUCAUCACUACCUGUGUGACCAUAGGCAAGUCAGUUAACCUGACUGGGCCUCAGUGUCCUCAACCGUAAAAGGAGAGGUUAGCCUAGAUUUCCUCUAAGGUCCCUUCAAGGACUAGAUCUGUGAUCCUUCUUAGCUCACAGGGUAUUUAUUGAAACACUUUGUAACCUCAAAUAAAUAUAUACAUGUAAGUUAUUAUUGUCA
ensembl:lncRNA